GCUUCCGUAGCUGGUCUGGUGAAAGCGCCGGCCUGAAAAGCCGGAGAGGUUCGUUCGAAUCGAACGGGAAGCGCCA
rnacentral:tRNA from 1 species